rnacentral:rRNA from 1 species
ACGAAACCACCCACUCACCCACCACCCAAUUCCCCUCCCCUCUCCAGGUCUCCUCCCGAAACCCCCAAUUCGAAAAUCGAUUGGGGAUUUCGGCGUCCCAAGCUCCCCCCAGAUCCGCGCCUCCGGCCGGUUCGCUCGGCCGCCCCGUCGAUCUGCGGCCGCCGUCGGAGCUGACCGGUCCACGGCUCGAUUCGCCCGGGGGAUUUGUUUCGGGGCUUUUGGUCCUGAUGGCGUCGUCCCCGGUCUCCUACUGGUGCUACCACUGCAGCCGCUUCGUGCGGGUCUCCCCGGCCACCGUCGUCUGCCCCGACUGCGACGGCGGCUUCCUCGAGCAGUUCCCGCACCCGCCGCCGCCGCGCGGCGGCGGCGGCAGCGGCCGGCGCGGGGCCAUGAACCCCGUGAUCGUGCUGCGGGGCGGCUCGCUCUCCGGCUUUGAGCUCUACUACGAGGACGGCUCCGGCGACGGGCUGCGGCCGCUGCCCGGCGACGUCUCGCACCUCCUCAUGGGGUCCGGCUUCCACCGCCUGCUCGACCAGUUCUCGCGGCUGGAGGCGGCCGCGCCGCGCCCGCCGGCCUCCAAGGCCGCGGUCGAGUCGAUGCCUUCCGUGACCGUCGCCGGGGGAGGCGGGGCCCACUGCGCGGUGUGCCAGGAGGCCUUCGAGCCCGGCGCCGCGGCCCGGGAGAUGCCGUGCAAGCACGUCUACCACCAGGACUGCAUCCUCCCCUGGCUCUCCCUCCGCAACUCCUGCCCCAUCUGCCGCAGCGAGCUUCCGGCGGCGGCCGUGCCUGAGGCGGAGGCGGACGCCGGGCUCACCAUCUGGCGACUCCCCCGCGGCGGAUUUGCCGUCGGAAGGUUCGCCGGCGGGCCCAGAGAGCAACUGCCGGUUGUCUACACGGAGCUGGAUGGUGGUUUCAGCAACGGCGUCGGGCCGAGGCGGGUGACAUGGCCAGAAGGAGAAGGGCAGGUGGACGGCGGCGAAGGUCGGAUUCGCCGUGUAUUUAGGAACCUGUUUGGGUGCUUUGGCCGGGGCGGCCGGCCCGAGAGUUCCUCGCAGUCCCGUAGUGGCUGAGCAAUGUUCUUCCUGGUAACUCACUUUCAAUUGAUGAUAGUGGUGAAUAAGUAGGAGUUUAGUAUAAGGAGGAAACCCCAGGUGGUGAGUUAUUGGUUAGUUUGAUGUAAAUGAAGGGCUUGCAUUCCCCCCCUUUUUGUCUCGUUUUAAGAAUUUAGAGUUGGCCAUGAGCAAACUACUCAGAAAUGAAAUUUGAUAGCAAAUCAGGAAGAACAAGCCCAAGCCUUCAAGAACGGGAUAGCAGUGAAUUAUGCGGGAAAUCAGUCACUGGCAAUAUUCUAGGCAAAGAGAACAAUCGGCGUUCUCACUUCUGUAUUGUUUGUGCAUAUACUGGAUUCGUUAAGAUAAAUUUUGAUUUUGCAUUAUGUUGGUCCCAUACAUGAAAUUUCAAUAUACUUGAGUACUUCUAUUUUUAUUGUUAUUAUUCCUCUGCCUAAACCUCUUUUUUGUUUCAACA